rnacentral:lncRNA from 1 species
GGAUGACUAGGAGUUCCCUGAAGGGUUAUCUCGGGAAGUUGGGGUUCCAAGGGUCCCAAGAUCAUGGGUACCCCAGGUCAGUCUCAAUAUUUACUAGUUUUUCUUUUAUUCUUAAAAUGUUCAAGCACUGAUAAUCAUUUGACAUGCUUUUCAGACAUAUGCUGCAACAAGCUACCCAUACUAUUUGAGGACGAGCAGGAAAUAUUUGAUAAUAUCUUGAGACCGGUAGAAGAGGGGGGACUUUACUCAGUCCUGACACACCUCGAAUCUAAAUCUUUCCGCAGGUGCUUUGGUUUUCCCAAGUCCAUGGUGUCUGGUGAAGGGAAUAAUGGCAAGGAUUGACCUGCAGAUGGUACAUCUGCCUCUUCGGGCGACGCGGGUGAGUCCCACCACUCCCGAGAUGAAUAGCCCCAACAUGACAGUCACUCCUGAGAUGAAUCACUAGAAUACAUAGGAACCCUUUAGGAAGGAAAUAAGGAGAAUCCUUCCUCAUAUUCCUGAUCUAACCCUGCGAAG